GACUCUGUAGCUUAAUUGGUUAGAGCACUGUACCGGAAUCGCAGGGCAGCAGGUUCGAUUCCUGCCGGGGACC
rnacentral:tRNA from 1 species